ACUCAACGUGUGGAAAUCUAAGUCUCUGAGGAUUCCUGUGUGACCAAAGGCUGCAUUUCUCUUCUCAAAGAGUCAGCUUUUGAGCGUUCCUUUGUGGAGCUGAAGGAACAUAAAGUCAUCACAGAGAGCCUCAUUAAAAUGUUUAAUGAGAGCAGUGCAAUCCCACAGCCCAAGGAUCAGUGUUUAUAGCAAGGAUUGCCCAGAAGCUUCAUCCCACCAGAGCCAGGUAUCACCAGGAGAACCCAUUCACUGAGGGGCACGCUGACUGCUGUCACCAACAGCCAGACAAGCACAGGAGACAAAGCAACCCAGGAGAACUACAGCUGGGUAACAACACCAGUGCAAAUUUCUCAGCCCAGAACAAGCCAAGAUUCAUUUCUGGCCAAAAUUCCUGCACUAAUGCUAACCUCCAUCUGAUUAAAUGAUUUUCCUGAGAUCCUAAUGCAAGUCAUUGUCACAGAAAGGACUCGCAUGGGCAUGCUGCAGCCCUGGUUCCCUGCUGCCCACCUCUGCCUCUGGUUGCUCCAGUGCCCUGUGCAGCCCCAUCACCUGCACUCUGCUCCCCGCUGGAAAAACAUGCUCGUUUUCAAAGGUGUGUGGCUGAAGCUGUGCUUGAGACAAAUCCGAAUGCUGUCUGCCUGGGGAACCGGAUGGGGCUGAAGGGGAAAAAAAAAGCAGCAAUUAAUGCAGU